UAUUAGUAAUAUUUUUGAUAAUAAAAUUAUAACUAAUAGUUAAUAGACGAAACUAAUUUACUUUAUAAAGGUUGAAAAUUAUGUUUAUAUAUAUUAUUUUUAUUGUACAGAAAGACUUAGCUUAUUUACAGGUAGCAGUCAAAAGUUGAGGAGUGGAUUUAAAAAUCAUCGUAUGAUUGAUCUUAUUUGCAUGUACAACUUAAUUGUAUCACGUAAACAAGAUGAAUGUUAGCAUUAUCAUUGAAACUGGUUUUCAUUUGACGAUUCAUAUUAGCCAAUAUAGAUUCUAAGUAACAUAAUUAGCAAUUGCUUCUAGUGUUAUGCAUGUGACAUGAUGAAGUACAGGAACAGGUAUAGAUCUUUAAACAUAGUUUUUUCAUACACAUAUUCUAUUUUACAUCAUGAAAUUUAACAUUUUUUACAUGUGAUAAUGAAUACUGUACAAAUAUGUGCGGUACAAAUCCACCAUACAAAUACCUUGUUAUUUAACCGACAAAUGUAUAGAUGUUUUUAUUUUAACCAUAUUUAAUAUUAUUUUUUAAUAUCAUUAUAAUAAUUCUAUUGCAGUGAUUGAUAUGUCAAAGCAGACCGACACAAUUACAGUCCCGUCUUUUGACCUACGUAUUGAAAUUGAAGCAUCAUCCGCGUUCCCUGCUAAUACAACUGCAUAUGCUAUAGUAAUUUCAGGCAAUGUAUUUACAUAUACACCUUUUGACGGUACCAUCCGUAUAUUUUAUCAUUUUUUACAUGUUUAUGUAAACAUUUAUUAUUAACCUUGUAAUUAUUAUUAUUAUUAUAAAAUAAAUAUAUUAUAUACAAAUAA